rnacentral:rRNA from 1 species
UAAGGAAUAUUGCGCAAUGGACGAAAGUCUGACGCAGCGACGCCGCGUGGGGGAUGAAGGUCUUCGGAUUGUAAACCCCUUUCGGGAGGGAAGAAGCGAAAGUGACGGUACCUGCAGAAGAAGCGCCGGCUAACUACGUGC